CACGUAGGGCGCAAGCGUUGUCCGGAAUUAUUGGGCGUAAAGAGCUCGUAGGCGGUUUGUCGCGUCUGCUGUGAAAACUCGGGGCUUAACUCCGGGCCUGCAGUGGGUACGGGCAGACUAGAGUGCGGUAGGGGAGACUGGAAUUCCUGGUGUAGCGGUGAAAUGCGCAGAUAUCAGGAGGAACACCGGUGGCGAAGGCGGGUCUCUGGGCCGUAACUGACGCUGAGGAGCGAAAGCAUGGGGAGCGAACAGG
rnacentral:rRNA from 1 species